UUGAAGAGUUUGAUCAUGGCUCAGAUUGAACGUUGGCGGCAGGCCUAAUACAUGCAAGUCGAGCGGUAACAGAUCUAGCUUGCUAGAUGCUGACGAGCGGCGGACGGGUGAGUAACGCGUAGGAAUCUACCCAGUAGCGGGGGAUAGCCCGGGGAAACUCGGAUUAAUACCGCAUACGCCCCAAGGGGGAAAGGCGGGGAUCUCUUCGGAGACCUGUCACUAUUGGAGGAGCCUGCGUUGGAUUAGCUAGUUGGUGAGGUAAAGGCUCACCAAG
rnacentral:rRNA from 1 species